rnacentral:rRNA from 1 species
GACGAACGCUGGCGGCGUGCUUAACACAUGCAAGUCGAACGGUGAAGCGCCUUCCUUUUUGGUGGGUGUGGAUGAGUGGCGAACGGGUGAGUAACACGUGAGUAACCUGCCCCCUUCUUCUGGAUAACCGCAUGAAAGUGUGGCUAAUACGGGAUAUUCUGGGUCUGUCGCAUGAUGGGUCUGGGAAAGAUAUUGUUUCGGUGGGGGAUGGGCUCGCGGCCUAUCAGCUUGUUGGUGGGGUGAUGGCCUACCAAGGCGGUGACGGGUAGCCGGCCUGAGAGGGUGGACGGUCACACUGGGACUGAGACACGGCCCAGACUCCUACGGGAGGCAGCAGUGGGGAAUAUUGCACAAUGGGCGCAAGCCUGAUGCAGCGACGCCGCGUGAGGGAUGGAGGCCUUCGGGUGGUGAACCUCUUUCGCCAGUGAAGCAGGCCUGCCGCGUUGGUGGGUGGGUUGACGGUAGCUGGAUAAGAAGCGCCGGCUAACUACGU